AGAGUGAACGCUGGCGGCAGGCCUAACACAUGCAAGUCGAGCGGCAGCGCAGCAGUAGCAAUACUGUGGGCGGCGAGCGGCGGACGGGUGAGGAACACAUCGGAAUCUACCCUGUCGUGGGGGACAACGUAGGGAAACUUACGCUAAUACCGCAUACGACCUUUGGGUGAAAGUGGGGGACUCGCAAGAGCCUCACGCGAUUGGAUGAGCCGAUGUCCGAUUAGCUAGUUGGCGGGGUAAUGGCCCACCAAGGCGACGAUCGGUAGCUGGUCUGAGAGGACGACCAGCCACACUGGAACUGAGACACGGUCCAGACUCCUACGGGAGGCAGCAGUGGGGAAUAUUGGACAAUGGGGGCAACCCUGAUCCAGCCAUGCCGCGUGGGUGAAGAAGGCCUUCGGGGUGUAACCGCUGUCAGUGGGGAAGAGUAGGGACGGUACCCACUGAGGAAGCCUCGGCUAACUACGCGCCAGCAGCCGC
rnacentral:rRNA from 1 species